UAGGGAAUCUUCCGCAAUGGACGCAAGUCUGACGGAGCAACGCCGCGUGAGUGAAGAAGGUUUUCGGAUCGUAAAGCUCUGUUGUUAAGGAAGAACGAGUGUGAGAAUGGAAAGUUCAUACUGUGACGGUACUUAACCAGAAAGGGACGGCUAACUACGUGCCAGCAGCCGCGGUAAUACGUAGGUCCCGAGCGUUGCCCGGCUUUAUUGGGCGUAAAGCGAGCGCAGGCGGUUAGAUAAGUCUGAAGUUAAAGGCAGUGGCUCAACCAUUGAAAGCUUUGGAAACUGUUUAACUUGAGUGCAGAAGGGGAGAGUGGAAUUCCAUGUGUAGCGGUGAAAUGCGUGGAUAUAUGGAGAAACACCGGUAGCGAAAGCGGCUCUCUGGUCUGUAACUGACGCUGAGGCUCGAAAGCGUGGGGAGCGAACAGG
rnacentral:rRNA from 1 species